UACGUAGGGGGCAAGCGUUGUCCGAAGUUACUGGGCGUAAAGCGCGCGUAGGCGGUCAUUUAAGUCUGAGGUGAAAGGUUCAGCGCUCAACGUGAACAGUGCCUUGGAUACUGGGUGACUUGAGUUCGGGAGGGGGCAGUGGAAUUCCAGGUGUAGCGGUGAAAUGCGUAGAUAUCUGGAGGAACACCGAUGGCGAAGGCAGCUGCCUGGCCCAGAACUGACGCUGAGGUGCGAAAGCGUGGGGAGCGAACGGG
rnacentral:rRNA from 1 species